rnacentral:rRNA from 1 species
GACGAACGCUGGCGGCGUGCUUAACACAUGCAAGUCGAACGGAAAGGCCCUGCUUUUGUGGGGUGCUCGAGUGGCGAACGGGUGAGUAACACGUGAGUAACCUGCCCUUGACUUUGGGAUAACUUCAGGAAACUGGGGCUAAUACCGGAUAGGAGCUCCCGCUGCAUGGUGGGGGUUGGAAAGUUUCGGCGGUUGGGGAUGGACUCGCGGCUUAUCAGCUUGUUGGUGGGGUAGUGGCUUACCAAGGCUUUGACCGGUAGCCGGCCUGAGAGGGUGACCGGCCACCUUGGGACUGAGAUACGGCCCAGACUCCUACGGUAGGCAGCAGUGGGGAAUAUUGCACAAUGGGCGGAAGCCUGAUGCAGCAACGCCGCGUGCGGGAUGACGGCCUUCGGGUUGUAAACCGCUUUCGCCUGUGACGAAGCGUGAGUGACGGUAAUGGGUAAAGAAGCACCGGCUAACUACGUG